rfam:Gossypium hirsutum cultivar TM-1 chromosome 22, whole genome shotgun sequence
CACGUAAGCGCGAGAUACUUACGUGGAAGUAAAUCGCGUCCUUGAGGGAGCGAUUUCCUUCCACAUAAGCAUCUCGCGCUUACGUGA